CAUGCACUUUCUGUGAUUGAUAGUUAAGUUAUUUUGAAAAAUAUAUUUAAACAAAAUAAAAAAUUAUACUAGAAAAUCAUUAAUGUUAUUUAUCAUGGAAGAGAACUCAAAUACACUUUUCGUCAUAUCCUCUACACUGCCAAGAUUAUGCAUGAUCGCGACGAGAUACUACGAUAAAAUAGAAGAAAAAAAAAGGAAAGAAGAAGAAGAAGAAGAAGAAAAAGAAAAGUGAAUAAAAGUCAUAACGAUAGGGAAGAGCUUGUUCGUUCGUAAGGAAGUUUAUUAUACGAGUUGAAAAACAUUUAUAUAUGCAAUGAGGCGUAUGUGUGUUAUUGUAAAAAGAACAAAAAGAAAGGGAAAGGAGAGCACGAUGCCUCUGGCAUAUCCAGAAGGUACAUCGAGCGCUAAAACACACAGUAUCCUACAUACGUGACUUCACUACGCAUAAAUACGAGAUGCCUCUGUGAUAUCCUCGAGCUAUGCAACCUCCGACUUGUUAGAGAACAACUCUUGCCUACCAUUUUUACUUCUAGAAUUGAGAUCUCCGAAUCAUCGAUCUUUAUAUCAGUGAUACGCAUAAGUGAUAUUUUAUAUAUAUAUGCUUAUCAUAUGUUUUAAAUGUUAGAUUUUAAAUACCAAACCAAUAUGAUCCAAUUCUAAUAUUUAUACAAGGAGAAUUUUUUAAAACAACCCGAAAACGA